CAGGAGCCUCAAACGUCCUGCAGAAAAUCAAAAAAAGCAUCUGCCUCCUGUGUCCCCUCUUUCCCUGUUGUACGGCUAACACCAGAUCCCAGUCUCUUCAGUGGCACUCAACUUUUUCAAGUCACAAGAUGGAAGCGCUUUGGAAGAGGAGUAAAGGACCUGGACUCUGAUUCCAUGCCACCGCAAACUCGGGCAGGCACUUCAAAGCAGAGAGUCUCAUUUUCCACUUCUGAAAAACACAUGGUCUAGAUGAGCUCUAAG
rnacentral:lncRNA from 10 species